rnacentral:misc_RNA from 1 species
AACGCACGAGACCUGCGGACCUGCGGAGGGAUCAUUAAAGAAAACACACUAUACCAAAGUGUUGAGAGUUUUGGUGCUUGUUGCACGUCCAGCCAGCCCAACUCUCUCGCACUUCAAACAAACGAUCGCAACUAUGUGGAAAACAGAGAAAUGGAUGAGUGGUGGUGGCUUGGUGUGCCUUGCCUUGGUUCACAGCUCGAAAAAGUGUUUGCCUGAUAAUCUGAUUGGAAAUGGAUUGGA